rnacentral:rRNA from 1 species
GCAGUCGAACGGCAGCACGGACUUCGGUCUGGUGGCGAGUGGCGAACGGGUGAGUAAUAUAUCGGAACAUACCCUAGAGUGGGGGAUAACGUAGCGAAAGUUACGCUAAUACCGCAUACGCACUAAGGUGGAAAGUGGGGGAUCGCAAGACCUCAUGCUCAUGGAGUGGCCGAUAUCUGAUUAGCUAGUUGGUGAGGUAAAGGCUCACCAAGGCGACGAUCAGUAGCGGGUUUGAGAGAACGACCAGCCACACUGGAACUGAGACACGGUCCAGACUCCUACGGGAGGCAGCAGUGGGGAAUUUUGGACAAUGGGCGCAAGCCUGAUCCAGCAAUGCCGCGUGAGUGAAGAAGGCCUUCGGGUUGUAAAGCUCUUUUGUCAGGGAAGAAACGGUUGUUCCUAAUACGGAUGGCUAAUGACGGUACCUGAAGAAUAAGCACCGGCUAACUACGUGCCAGCAGCCGCGGUAAUACGUAGGGUGCAAGCGUUAAUCGGAAUUACUGGGCGUAAAGCGUGCGCAGGCGGUUAUAUAAGUCAGAUGUGAAAUCCCCGGGCUCAACCUGGGAACUGCAUUUGAGACUGUAUGGCUAGAGUGUGUCAGAGGGGGGGUAGAAUUCCACGUGUAGCAGUGAAAUGCGUAGAUAAUGUGGAGGAAUACCGAUGGGCGAAGGCAGCCCCCUGGGAUAACACUGACGCUCAUGCAC